CUGCAAAACCUUCCCUCCCUCCCGCUCCCCACCCUGUUUUUCCCCCUCCAUCUACCCAAAAUUUUUUUUUCCCACCAUCUUUUUCCUAUCGUCUUUUUGCAACGCCUUCUCCUGCUUGCUAUCCUCUUUUCCCUUUGGCACUAACCACCCACUUUACUCCUAACCACCCGCUUUAACCCCCUCCAUCUAUCCCAAAACUAUUUUCCUUCUCCUAUCACUCCAGCCACGCUGCCGUCUCCGUUGCCGCCACCACCAACCGCAGCCAGGCGAGCCACGUUGUCGUGGCCCCACCAUCCAGUGCACAGCCGCUGAUAACCCAUUCCUGGUUCUCUAAGCCGGGCAGUAAGCAGCUCUACAUGAAGACACGUGAACUUGCAAGGGCCUGACUUCCCUUCAGCAGCAUUCAUAUACUGAGGUUAUAUACAGGAGGAUUCCUGGACUGCACGCUCUGAUUGGAUGAGAAGGAACCUCCGGGGUUACUCGGAUUGGACUUUAUUAUCAUGUUCUGAUUGGAUAAGAGCAAGCCUUAAGACAACCAAUCACAGCAUGAAAAUAAAGUCCAAUCAGAGUAGGCCUAAAGGUUUUUCUCUCAUCCAAUCAGAACAUGUAGUCCAGGAACUGCGUGUGCCUUAACCUCGGCUAUAAAGCAUGCUGAGGCGGAGUCCCCUCGUUUCAGGCUCUUCAGUGUCAGUGCUCAGUAUCUGCCUUAGAGAACUACGAGAAGGGGCUGCUAGCAGCCGCCAUCCGGGGCACUGGGUGGCUGCAGGUGGUGGUGGCGAUGGAACGGUAGGAGGGCGGCCAGCAGCGGGAGCUUCUCCUGCCGGGCAGGAGGACGAGUAGAAGGGAGAGGCACCACCACAUGCUGGAGGCUGGAGCUUGCACCGCCGCAGCUCGCCUCACUGCAGUUGGAGGUGACGUUGGACACUACAGCUUGGCCAGAGUGGUAGAAAUGUUGUUGCAUAGGAUUACCAGGAGACACCAGGUGCUGCAGCAGCUUCGGGAUAACUUGAGGAUGCAUCCUGGGGAAGAGACACCUCUUGUCCAUGGCGCUGACUACUGAGGACAGCUUCGGUGUGGCUUUUCUGCGGCCAGCUUCUUUGAGGCCUUUUUCUUUCAUGGAUGGUAGAGAGCAGUCUACAGCCUGAGACCCAUCACAAGGUUCCUUGUGAGACACCUGGGGGACUCCAAACAGCCGGAAUCCAUCUGCCCACUGGUCCGGAGACAGGGAUCCUCCGCCUCCUUCCAGGGUUGAUGGCUCAGGAGGCCUUCUCUGCAGGGGACCAGGACACAGGAAAGCCAGGAAGAGAUGAGCUGGGAAGGGAGCUGUUGGGGGCCAUUCUGGUUUUAAAAAUAAAGCAGGACUUUCGUUGCUUGUUAUAAAAGGAACACAUGCUCAUUUUCUGUGAUUUAGGAAAGCGCAGAAAAGUAAAAGGGAAAGAAGAACGUAGCCGCUGCCUAGCACCAGGGAAAAAAGGGCUGUAGUUUUUAGUGUCUGCCUAGACUGUAAAGUUCUAAACUCUAAAACUUGUACAACCCAUUGUUUAAUGGUUGUGUAAUACUCCAUCACAUGAGCACAUCAUGCCCUGGUUACCUGACCCUUACUGGCUAGAGAUGUGUGGUGUUCCUAAUUUUUGCUAUUUUAAAUAACCAUGGGAGGAACCACAUUAACAUGAAUCUUUGGGUGCAUUUGUGCUUUUUGCCUUAAAAUAGAUUUGUCGAUGUGGAAUUACUGGCCUGAAGGGUGCAAAUCUUUUUAAAGCUUUUGAUACAUACUGCUGGGGUUUAGCAACACCUUCCCAAGUUAGUCUCCUGACUAGAAGGGAAAGAGUGCCUGCCCUGCAGCCCCACCUGCAUUGUGAAUUUGUAUUAUUAAAAGAUAAGCCUUGCCAGAGGGACAUUUCUAGCUUGAAUGUGUGCCUGACACCGAUGUGAGCUCCGACAGUGUGCCUUGAACCCUGUGCCAGAUGCUGCAGAGGGCUGCAAAGUAAGGCGAAGGCUCUGCCUGUCUGCCUCACCUCUGGUAAUGAAAGAGGCCACUUCCUUUUUUGUUAUUUCUCCUAUAAUUUUUUUUUUUUUGAGAUGGAGUUUCACUCUUGUCACCCAGGCUGGA
rnacentral:lncRNA from 1 species